rnacentral:rRNA from 1 species
UAGGGAAUCUUCGGCAAUGGACGAAAGUCUGACCGAGCAACGCCGCGUGAGUGAAGAAGGUUUUCGGAUCGUAAAACUCUGUUGUUAGAGAAGAACAAGGACGUUAGUAACUGAACGUCCCCUGACGGUAUCUAACCAGAAAGCCACGGCUAACUACGUGCCAGCAGCCGCGGUAAUACGUAGGUGGCAAGCGUUGUCCGGAUUUAUUGGGCGUAAAGCGAGCGCAGGCGGGUUCUUUAGUCUGAUGUGAAAGCCCCCGGCUCAACCGGGGAGGGGCAUUGGAAACUAGGAGACUUGAGUGAAGAAGAGGAGAGUGGAAAUCCAUGUGUAGCGGUGAAAGGCGUAGAUAUAUGGAGGAACACCAGUGGCGAAGGCGGCUCUCUGGUCUGUAACUGACGCUGAGGCUCGAAAGCGUGGGGAGCAAACAGG